rnacentral:snoRNA from 1 species
AGACUAUGAUGAGGACACUCUAAGAGAAGGUCUUUGAAAUGUUCCAUGCAUCAAGAGAAUAGUUCAUUGGGUCCCUGGAGAAACUUGAGAAUUUCGUUCCUAACUUU